GACGAACGCUGGCGGCGUGCUUAACACAUGCAAGUCGAGCGGUAAGGCCUUUCGGGGUACACGAGCGGCGAACGGGUGAGUAACACGUGGGUGAUCUGCCCUGCACUUCGGGAUAAGCCUGGGAAACUGGGUCUAAUACCGGAUAUGACCUCCUAUCGCAUGGUGGGUGGUGGAAAGAUUUAUCGGUGCAGGAUGGGCCCGCGGCCUAUCAGCUUGUUGGUGGGGUAAUGGCCUACCAAGGCGACGACGGGUAGCCGACCUGAGAGGGUGACCGGCCACACUGGGACUGAGACACGGCCCAGACUCCUACGGGAGGCAGCAGUGGGGAAUAUUGCACAAUGGGCGAAAGCCUGAUGCAGCGACGCCGCGUGAGGGAUGACGGCCUUCGGGUUGUAAACCGCUUUCAGCAGGGACGAAGCGCAAGUGACGGUACCUGCAGAAGAAGCACCGGCUAACUACGUG
rnacentral:rRNA from 1 species